UGACAAGCUAUAGAAAACCGGUAUUUAUUACGUCCCUUAUGUGACCGCCGCCGCGCGCCGCCACCGGUGAAGUUGGGGUUAGUAUUUUGCAUGUUUUGUUUGAUAAUUUGUUUACAGUUUAGUGCAAACUAUGGUCACGAUCGGUGUUAUUGUUGGUUGUUAAAAUAUUGUGAGUGCUCUAUAUGCAAAUGAAUAUUCAAGAUGUUAUAUUCUAAAAGAUAUUAGUGGAUGCAGAUAAGAGUGUUUAGUGAGUGCUAUGUUUGAAUAUUUGCAAGUGAAAACACAGCCUAUCGAUGUAAUGCGCCGAUAAACUAUCAUGACUGCAUUGAUGUAAUGCGCUAAAAAACUGCAAGGGCUCCGAAUACAUGAUUACCAGAUAACAAAUCCUAGGUAAGAAUUUAUCACUAUUUUCAUAUGGUAUUGUGCUUAUGCUAGGAUACAGUGUUGUGGUGCUGAAGUUGAUAAAGUUAUAACAGCCAAUUUACUUGUCAAAACUCAUUUGUACCUAUCAGUUACAAGCGACAAAAACGUGUUUCUGAACUAAAUACCUAUCGCAGCUUACGUGUGUUCUUCAAUAACGUCGCAAGCUACAGUGGCUGUUCAUAAUUUUUGCAAGUUCUACACUUACAGGAUUCAGUUAUCUGGGCAUUAUAGAUACCCUAUUAUCACCUACGAAGUUAUUUAGGUAUAUUUAUUAAAACCAUUAUACAAGGUGUUGCAAAAAGG